rnacentral:lncRNA from 1 species
GGAAGAUGAAAAGUCCAAGACUGACAGAAGAAUCAGAGCAAGGAUGAAGCAGAGUAAAAUGAAGUACAGGCAAGAUGGAAAAACCAGAAUUCUCUCCCUGGCUCUGGAGUGGCGUGAUUUACCUGGAGCUCAGAGUUUGCCUUGGGAUUUUUUUCAAUUUGGUGUUCCUGGAACUGAAUGGCUUUGGCAUUUGUGUUAACAACUUAUUUGCUACCUCUGUGGUUAAGAGUGCCCCACUUGGCUUGACGCUCUAGGCAUCCUAAAUCAUCCAGUAACUGGAGUUUCCAUCCCUAAAAUCCCUCUGACCUGUACUGCAAUCCUUCAAGAUAAACAUAUCACUAAAAGUUUCUGGGGCCGGCGAUGUAGCUCAGUGGCACCGCGCCUGCCUGUGGGCUUCAGAGUGAGACUUUCUGGAAUGCAAAUCUGCCUGGGAACACUUGAAUGACCACAGGCAAGUUCUUGAGCUUCUCCAGGCCUCUGUGCAUAUGGACAGACAGCUCCAGAAAAUGGAAACUACAUUUUCCUUUGCAGAAUUGUAUGAGUGGCCAAUGUGGUAGGGCAC